rnacentral:snRNA from 1 species
GGUUAUAGGGUGAUCUAACUGUGAUAUCUGUCAUCCCCUUGGCUGAUCUUUAGUGCUCAUUCAGCUGAUCUGGCUGGUGACUGGUGUUCCCUUCCUGUCUCUUCGCUCCACGUGCAUGUGUGUACCUUCCUAAGCUGUGGGCUGGUUCAACCAAAGAGGAUGACUUUCCCCAAUGGAAGAGGACAUCUCUUUGAUCAAGGGUAUCUGAAUUGCUUCAUUGUGGUGCUAGGGCUUCCAGACAAGCUCUCAAGACUGGCUUGAACACUGUGCAUGCCAGAAUCCAAGAAUGGUGCAAAAUUAAUAACCAUUAUGGCCUUU